rnacentral:misc_RNA from 1 species
AACCUAGCACACCUGCGGUGUGUACCUGCGGAAGGAUCAUUACCUAGAGUUGCAGGCUUUGCCUGCUAUCUCUUACCCAUGUCUUUUGAGUACCUUACGUUUCCUCGGUGGGUUCGCCCACCGAUUGGACAAACUUAAACCCUUUGCAGUUGAAAUCAGCGUCUGAAAAAACUUAAUAGUUACAACUUUUAACAAUGGAUCU